UACAGAGGGGGCUAGCGUUAUUCGGAAUUAUUGGGCGUAAAGGGCGCGUAGGCGGCCAUGCGUGUCUUCCGUGAAAUCCCUCGGCUUAACUGAGGACGUGCGGAAGAAACUGCAAGGCUUGAGUCCGGGAGAGGGGGGUGGAAUUCCCAGUGUAGCGGUGAAAUGCGUAGAUAUUGGGAGGAACACCGGUGGCGAAGGCGGCCCCCUGGACCGGUACUGACGCUGUAGCGCGAAAGCGUGGGGAUCAAACAGG
rnacentral:rRNA from 1 species